GGCUAGAAAUGAACCACACGUGUGGCCCAACACAGGCCUUACACGACCGUGUUCCCUUUUAAAAACCCUAAUCCCAUUUUAUUUUUUUACUUUACUUUGUCUUCUUCCUCAAAUCCCUAGCCGCCACUCACCCCCAACAACCCCUCUCUUCGGUCACUGUCGUUCUGCACCGCCUCACUUCCUCGCUACACACCUUCGCCCUUACCACUUCCCCUCCCCAAGUCGUCCCCUCUCCUCUCCCUUUUUCCUUCUUCUUUUUCCCUUCUUUUUUUCUCUCCUCCCUCACCUCUCCCCCACGCCCUACUAGCACUUCACCCUCAUUCAAACACCAUCGCACCACCGUCCUCUCCCCAUCACUGUCACCUCCAUUCCCUCCGGUCACC
rnacentral:lncRNA from 1 species